GGCGGGUGCUAACGUCCGUCGUGAAGAGGGAAACAACCCAGACCGCCAGCUAAGGUCCCAAAGUCAUGGUUAAGUGGGAAACGAUGUGGGAAGGCCCAGACAGCCAGGAUGUUGGCUUAGAAGCAGCCAUCAUUUAAAGAAAGCGUAAUAGCUCACUGGUCGAGUCGGCCUGCGCGGAAGAUGUAACGGGGCUAAACCAUGCACCGAAGCUGCGGCAGCGACGCUUAUGCGUUGUUGGGUAGGGGAGCGUUCUGUAAGCCUGUGAAGGUGUACUGUGAGGUAUGCUGGAGGUAUCAGAAGUGCGAAUGCUGACAUAAGUAACGAUAAAGCGGGUGAAAAGCCCGCUCGCCGGAAGACCAAGGGUUCCUGUCCAACGUUAAUCGGGGCAGGGUGAGUCGACCCCUAAGGCGAGGCCGAAAGGCGUAGUCGAUGGGAAACAGGUUAAUAUUCCUGUACUUGGUGUUACUGCGAAGGGGGGACGGAGAAGGCUAUGUUGGCCGGGCGACGGUUGUCCCGGUUUAAGCGUGUAGGCUGGUUUUCCAGGCAAAUCCGGAAAAUCAAGGCUGAGGCGUGAUGACGAGGCACUACGGUGCUGAAGCAACAAAUGCCCUGCUUCCAGGAAAAGCCUCUAAGCAUCAGGUAACAUCAAAUCGUACCCCAAACCGACACAGGUGGUCAGGUAGAGAAUACCAAGGCGCUUGAGAGAACUCGGGUGAAGGAACUAGGCAAAAUGGUGCCGUAACUUCGGGAGAAGGCACGCUGAUAUGUAGGUGAAGUCCCUCGCGGAUGGAGCUGAAAUCAGUCGAAGAUACCAGCUGGCUGCAACUGUUUAUUAAAAACACAGCACUGUGCAAACACGAAAGUGGACGUAUACGGUGUGACGCCUGCCCGGUGCCGGAAGGUUAAUUGAUGGGGUCAGCGCAAGCGAAGCUCUUGAUCGAAGCCCCGGUAAACGGCGGCCGUAACUAUAACGGUCCUAAGGUAGCGAAAUUCCUUGUCGGGUAAGUUCCGACCUGCACGAAUGGCGUAAUGAUGGCCAGGCUGUCUCCACCCGAGACUCAGUGAAAUUGAACUCGCUGUGAAGAUGCAGUGUACCCGCGGCAAGACGGAAAGACCCCGUGAACCUUUACUAUAGCUUGACACUGAACAUUGAGCCUUGAUGUGUAGGAUAGGUGGGAGGCUUUGAAGUGUGGACGCCAGUCUGCAUGGAGCCGACCUUGAAAUACCACCCUUUAAUGUUUGAUGUUCUAACGUUGACCCGUAAUCCGGGUUGCGGACAGUGUCUGGUGGGUAGUUUGACUGGGGCGGUCUCCUCCUAAAGAGUAACGGAGGAGCACGAAGGUUGGCUAAUCCUGGUCGGACAUCAGGAGGUUAGUGCAAUGGCAUAAGCCAGCUUGACUGCGAGCGUGACGGCGCGAGCAGGUGCGAAAGCAGGUCAUAGUGAUCCGGUGGUUCUGAAUGGAAGGGCCAUCGCUCAACGGAUAAAAGGUACUCCGGGGAUAACAGGCUGAUACCGCCCAAGAGUUCAUAUCGACGGCGGUGUUUGGCACCUCGAUGUCGGCUCAUCACAUCCUGGGGCUGAAGUAGGUCCCAAGGGUAUGGCUGUUCGCCAUUUAAAGUGGUACGCGAGCUGGGUUUAGAACGUCGUGAGACAGUUCGGUCCCUAUCUGCCGUGGGCGCUGGAGAAUUGAGGGUGGCUGCUCCUAGUACGAGAGGACCGGAGUGGACGCAUCACUGGUGUUCGGGUUGUCAUGCCAAUGGCACUGCCCGGUAGCUAAAUGCGGAAGAGAUAAGUGCUGAAAGCAUCUAAGCACGAAACUUGCCCCGAGAUGAGUUCUCCCUGACUCCUUGAGAGUCCUGAAGGAACGUUGAAGACGACGACGUUGAUAGGCCGGGUGUGUAAGCGCAGCGAUGCGUUGAGCUAACCGGUACUAAUGAACCGUGAGGCUUAACCUU
rnacentral:rRNA from 1 species